CGACCUGCGACCUAGGGUGUGUUUUGGAUUUUGGCCCCCUGUGCGAUUGAGUUUGACACCCCUGGCCUAAUCCAAUAGCAGAAACGGUUGCAGGUGUGUUUAUGCACAGAGCAUGAAUAACCGUGCAACACUUCGCUUCAUUAUGGAGGAUGGAAAACACGGCCUUGCGCUUUACAGAGAUUAAUACGAGCUUUUGGCACGCGACUUGUUUGUAUUAGACGGAUGAGAGCGCCGCAUUUUAUCAGACAUCUGCUCAACCUGACAACCUUCAGACAGCCUGGUUACAGCACCAGGCAAAGCCCUGAACUGUUGCUAACACUGCACAGCAACUUAGGUGUGCUCUCAUCCAAAAACAACACAUAAAACCACAUCAAUCUUCUGAAGUUUAACUGUCCCCCACAGGCUCCCAACCGGGUUGCAUGAAGGGGUUGUGGGAGUUAACAGCUAAUUGUUUUACAUGUGCUCUGACGAUAUUGAAGAGCUGAGCUCACGAAUCAGGCAUGUGACUUAUGCAUCGUCGUCUGUCCGUCCGUCUGUCUGUCACGGGCGGGCGGUGAUUUAUGGCCGGACAGCGGCCUGCAGAGGUGUUUCGACGGGAUGCGGCGCCCGACAUCUGGAAAGCGGAUCUGUGCUUGGGUCACUGUCGAUGGUGACGGCCGGUGGGACGCCGUGUCUUUCUCUGAGAAACAGACACGUGUGAAACUCAUAUUUUAAGUAGCUCGGUAUUAAUGGCCCCACUUAAAGCGCCAGGUGAGCUAACAAGAACCUCAAAUGAGCCUCUUCCAUGUGUCCCUAAUUUCUCCCAGAUGGACGAGAAACUUCCAGUUCUGCUGGCGUCCUUGGGAGGAAACGAGAGCUUGAUCUGAAAAAUGAAAAGGCCUCAAUGGGACGGAGCAUCGAUUCCAAACACAAGUCCUUGCAGUCAAGGAUAAUUGGGUAAAGGAGGAGAGCAUCAGCGGGGAGCGUCUGAACAAGGGGAAUUACCUUUGGGAGGCCGGCAGACGUCUCCUGAGCCGCUCCGUGUGUGUUCCUCCCAUCCCUGCAGAGCUGUCUCAUUAACACAGGCUGGGUUUAUCAUCUCUGUCCUGCAGAAGCCGGCUGAAUGGAAGCUGGAAAUGCAGACCCCCAGCGCAUCGCCAGCGCACAUGCAGACUCCGGAACAGGAUGACCGUGAAGCUGAGGCCAUUUUAUAGGCCAAGAAGUGAAACGAAGAUUUGCUGACGACACGUGGAGUUCGACUAAUGAGGUUUUUGACUUCCCUGUGAAGCGUGACAUGCUGGUGCCACAGCUUUACUCCAGUAAAGCCUGUUUUACAGCCACUAAAAAGACCUAAUUCUACCAGCAGCUAAUCGCAGGUUCAGAGGGGAGGGGGUCAGACCUACGGCCAAGAAAGGUCGGGCCAACCAGCUGUCACCUCCCCGACCACGGCUGAGACCAUCCAUCUGGCUGGGAGAGGCCCACCGAAGCAGCCGGGGCCGGAAUGUGCACACGCAAGCGUUUGUGUUUAAUGCGACAUAAGAAUAAACAUUUUUGGGCGUGCUUUACACACACAGUCGCAUGCGUGAACCUGUUCGAUGCCACAUACUUCCGUGAGGCGCUGUCUGCAUUAUCAUUGCUCUGCAGACAGAUCAGUG